rnacentral:rRNA from 1 species
GACGAACGCUGGCGGCGUGCUUAACACAUGCAAGUCGAACGGAAAGGCCCUGCUUGCAGGGUACUCGAGUGGCGAACGGGUGAGUAACACGUGGGUGAUCUGCCCUGCACUUCGGGAUAAGCCUGGGAAACUGGGUCUAAUACCGGAUAGGAGCCAUUUUUAGUGUGAUGGUUGGAAAGUUUUUUUCGGUGUAGGAUGAGCUCGCGGCCUAUCAGCUUGUUGGUGGGGUAAUGGCCUACCAAGGCGGCGACGGGUAGCCGGCCUGGGAGGGUGGACGGCCACAUUGGGACUGGGAUACGGCCCAGACUCCUACGGGGGGCAGCAGUGGGGAAUAUUGCACAAUGGGCGCAAGCCUGAUGCAGCGACGCCGCGUGGGGGAUGACGGCCUUCGGGUUGUAAACUCCUUUCGCUAGGGACGAAGCUUUUUGUGACGGUACCUAGAUAAGAAGCACCGGCUAACUACGUG